AUGGUUUCGGUUUCAUCCUCUCCGCCUCGUCGGAUCGUCGUGCCUGCACCAACCUGCCCAGCUCCAUGGUUAUUUCCCUGGGAGGAUUUCCUGCUCUCACGCGGUCCUCAGCCUCCAGUUCAGCCGCGCGCUGCUCAGUCUCCAGUUCAGCCGCGCGCUGCUCAGUCUCCAGUUCAGCCGCGCGCUGCUCAGUCUCCAGUUCAGCCGCGCGCUGCUCAGUCUCCAGUUCAGCCGCGCGCUGCUCAGUCUCCAGUUCAGCCGCGCGCUGCUCAGUCUCCAAGUCAGCCGCGCGCUGCUCAGUCUCCAAGUCAGCCGCGCGCUGCUCAGCCUCCAAGUCAGCCGCGCGCUGCUCAGUUUCCAGUUCAGCCGCGCGCUGCUCAGUCUCCAGAUCAGCCGCGCGCUGCUCAGUCUCCAGUUCAGCCGCGCGCUGUUCAAUCUCCAGCUCAAUCGUGCUUUGCCCAGUCUCCAGCUCAAUCGUGUUUUGCCCAGUCUCCUGCUCAAUCGUGUUUUCCCCAGUCUCCAGCCCAAGCUCCAGCCGCCGCGGCCCCGUUUCACCAUGCGGAUCCCGGUACAGAGGUCCGGUCCACACCGCGCCCAGCGCCUCAAACGACGGACAGUCGCAGCUGCUCCGGACGGCGACGGCGGCGGCGCGGGUCCAGGAUCCCGGGUCCCGCGGUCUCGGUCAUGGGGACCGAGCAGCCUUCUUCCCCGACAGAGGAGCCCCUUAAUUCUCUGACUGACUGUGUCCCUCUGAUAACAGGCAUCCCAGACAGCGUCGCCCGACGGGUCCACCUCCUCUGCUCUCCUCCAGUUGCCUUUCUCUUCGCCCACCUCAUGAACACCGCCAAUUCGGCUACAGACCAGGGCGCGAGAGAACAACUGUUCGAGGAAGCAGCCGCUCUCGUCCGGAGGGAGCCUGUUCUGCGUGAGGCCCUGCAACUCCCGGGCCUGCAGCCAGCGGUCGCUUCAUGCCCCACCUCUCAGUCAGGUCAGCCGAGUGUUACUCAUGCCCCGGUGCAGCCCUGUCGUCUCCAGGUCCCAGCCCAGUCGAACCUAGUCCAGACCCCAGAUCAGCCGUGUGUCGCCCAGACCCCAGAUCAGCCGUGUGUCGCCCAGACCCCAGAUCAGCCGUGUGUCGCCCAGACCCCAGAUCAGCCGUGUGUCGCCCAGACCCCAGAUCAGCCGUGUGUCGCCCAGACCCCAGAUCAGCCGUGUGUCGCCCAGACCCCAGAUCAGCCGUGUGUCGCCCAGACCCCAGAUCAGCCGUGUGUCGCCCAGACCCCAGAUCAGUCGUGUGUUGCCCAGACCCCAGUUCCGUCCUUGUCCCCGUCAGAGGGCACCGCCCGUCUGACGAUUGUUAACCCCACCCAAUCAGGCCCGACGUCUUCCCCGUCGAGCUCGGCAGCUGUAAGCUGUCAUGCCAGCUCCGGAGUUGACGCCGUUCCAGUCCCUGUCGGCCAUGUUGCGGCCGUUCCAGCUCCUGUCGGCCAUGUUGCGGCCGUUCUAGUUCCUGUCGGCUCCUCAGAGGAGGACGCCGUUCCUGUUCCCGUCGGCCAUAUUGAGGCCGUUCUAGUUCCAGUUCCUGUCGGCUCCUUAGAGGAGGACGCCGUUCUAGUUCCUGUCGGCUCCUCAGAGGAGGACGCCGUUCCUGUUCCCGUCGGCCAUAUUGAGGCCGUUCUAGUUCCAGUUCCUGUCGGCUCCUCAGAGGAGGACGCCGUUCUAGUUCCUGUCGGCCAAGCAGAGGCCGUUCCAGUUCCUGUCGGCCAUGUUGAGGUCGUUCCAGUUCCUGUCGGCCAUGUUGAGGUCGUUCCAGUUCCUGUCGGCCAUGUUGAGGUCGUUCCAGUUCCUGUCGGCCAUGUUGAGGUCGUUCCAGUUCUUGUCGACCAAGUUGAGGUCGUUCCAGUUCCUGUUCCUGUCGGCCAUGUUGAGGUCGUUCCAGUUCCUGUCCCUGUCGACCAAGUUGAGGUCGUUCCAGUUCCUGUUCCUGUCGGCCAUGUUGAGGUCGUUCCAGUUCCUGUCCCUGUCGACCAAGUUGAGGUCGUUCCAGUUCCUGUCCCUGUCGACCAAGUUGAGGUCGUUCCAGUUCCUGUCCCUGUCGACCAAGUUGAGGUCGUUCCAGUUCCUGUCCCUGUCGACCAAGUUGAGGUCGUUCCAGUUCCUGUCCCUGUCGACCAAGUUGAGGUCGUUCCAGUUCCUGUCCCUGUCGACCAAGUAGAGGGCGUUCCCGUAGGCCAAGUAGAGGGCGUUCCCGUAGGCCAAGUAGAGGGCGUUCCCGUAGGCCAAGUAGAGGGCGUUCCCGUAGGCCAAGUAGAGGGCGUUCCCGUAGGCCAAGUAGAGGGCGUUCCCGUAGGCCAAGUAGAGGGCGUUCCCGUAGGCCAAGUUGAGGGCGUUCCCGUAGGCCAAGUUGAGGUCACCCCUGUCUCUGACCCCGUUCCUGUCGACCCUGUAGCGGUCGUUCCAGUCCCCGUUCCUGUCGACCCUGUAGCGGUCGUUCCAGUCCCCGUUCCUGUCGACCCUGUAGCGGUCGUUCCAGUCCCCGUUCCUGUCGACCCUGUAGCGGUCGUUCCAGUCCCCGUUCCUGUCGACCCUGUAGCGGUCGUUCCAGUCCCCGUUCCUGUCGACCCUGUAGCGGUCGUUCCAGUCCCCGUUCCUGUCGACCCUGUAGCGGUCGUUCCAGUCCCCGUUCCUGUCGACCCUGUAGCGGUCGUUCCAGUCCCCGUUCCUGUCGACCCUGUAGCGGUCGUUCCAGUCCCCGUUCCUGUCGGCCCUGUAGCGGUCGUUCCAGUCCCCGUCACCCGUGGAGCCGCAGCGCCCGCCGGUCCCCAGGAGGAGGUCGCGCCAGUCGCAGUUCCUGCGCACCUCCAGGAGGAGGUCGCGCCAGUCGCAGUUCCUGCGCACCUCCAGGAGGAGGUCGCGCCAGUCGCAGUUCCUGCGCACCUCCAGGAGGAGGUUGCGCCAGCCGCAGUUCCUGCGCACCUCCAGGAGGAGGUUGCGCCAGCCGCAGUUCCUGCGCACCUCCAGGAGGAGGUUGCGCCAGCCGCAGUUCCUGCGCACCUCCAGGAGGAGGUUGCGCCAGCCGCAGUUCCUGCGCACCUCCAGGAGGAGGUUGCGCCAGCCGCAGUUCCUGCGCACCUCCAGGAGGAGGUUGCGCCAGCCGCAGUUCCUGCGCACCUCCAGGAGGAGGUUGCGCCAGCCGCAGUUCCUGCGCACCUCCAGGAGGAGGUUGCGCCAGCCGCAGUCCCUGCGCACCUCCAGGAGGAGGUUGCGCCAGCCGCAGUCCCUGCGCACCUCCAGGAGGAGGUUGCGCCAGCCGCAGUUCCUGCGCACCUCCAGGAGGAGGUUGCGCCAGCCGCAGUUCCUGCGCACCUCCAGGAGGAGGUUGCGCCAGCCGCAGUUCCUGCGCACCUCCAGGAGGAGGUUGCGCCAGCCGCAGUUCCUGCGCACCUCCAGGAGGAGGUUGCGCCAGCCGCAGUUCCUGCGCACCUCCAGGAGGAGGUUGCGCCAGCCGCAGUUCCGGCGCACCUCCAGGAGGAGGUUGCGCCAGCCGCAGUCCCGGCGCACCUCCAGGAGGAGGUUGCGCCAGCCGCAGUCCCGGCGCACCUCCAGGAGGAGGUCGCGCCAGCCGCAGUCCCGGCGCACCUCCAGGAGGAGGUCGCGCCAGCCGCAGUCCCGGCGCACCUCCAGGAGGAGGUCGCGCCAGCCGCAGUCCCGGCGCACCUCCAGGAGGAGGUCGCGCCAGCUGCAGUCCCGGCGGACCCCCAGGAGGGGGUCGCGCCAGCCGCAGUCCCGGCGGACCCCCAGGAGGGGGUCGCGCCAGCCGCAGUCCCGGCGGACCCCCAGGAGGGGGUCGCGCCAGCCGCAGUCCCGGCGGACCCCCAGGAGGGGGUCGCGGCAUCCGCAUUCCCGGCGGACCCCCAGGAGGGGGUCGCGCCCGCCGUAGUUCCUGCCGACCCCCAGGAGGGGGUCGCGCCCGUCGUAGUUCCUGCCGACCUCCAGGAGGGGGUCGCUCCCGUCGUAGUUCCUGCCGAACUCCAGGAGGGGGUCGCUCCCGUCGUAGUUCCUGCCGACCUCCAGGAGGGGGUCGCUCCCGUCGUAGUUCCUGCCGACCUCCAGGAGGGGGUCGCUCCCGUCGUAGUUCCUGCCGACCUCCAGGAGGGGGUCGCUCCCGUCGUAGUUCCUGCCGACCUCCAGGAGGGGGUCGCUCCCGUCGUAGUUCCUGCCGACCUCCAGGAGGGGGUCGCUCCCGUCGUAGUUCCUGCCGACCUCCAGGAGGGGGUCGCUCCCGCCGUAGCUCCUGCCGACCUCCAGGAGGGGGUCGCUCCCGUCCCGGCUCCGGCCGCAUCUGCAUCGGUUCCUGGCGGUCCGGCUCCGGUCGCAUCUGCAUCGGUCCCUGGCGGUCCGGCUCCGGCCGCAUCUGCUUCGGUUCCUGCCUCUCGUCGCGGUGGUCCAAGGAGGACGCCGCUGGUUCCUGCCUCGUCUCUGCCUUUGCUGCCGGACUGGUGGCCUCGCCCUCGGCGCAUCCUGCUGCUGGGAUGGCGCUGCCUCCUGCGGCGCCGUCCGCCUCGACUCCUCAACCGCCUGGAUCAGCGUCCGCCUGGUGGACGCUGCCAUGCGGGGUGGUCCCCGGGGACAUCGUCCCAGCUCAAGGGCACUAAGAGUGCCAUCCUGGCUCAGCGGCUGCUGAGCAGGAUCUCGCCACGCCGUCACCCUCCGUGA
ensembl:lncRNA